GAGUAGCUCAGCUGGAUAGAGCAACGCCCUUCUAAGGCGUCGGUCGGGAGUUCGAAUCUCUCCUGGGACG
rnacentral:tRNA from 1 species